rnacentral:rRNA from 1 species
AGUCGAGCGAGACCUUCGGGUCUAGCGGCGGACGGGUUAGUAACGCGUGGGAAUAUACCCUUCACUACGGAAUAGCCUCGGGAAACUGGGAGUAAUACCGUAUACGCCCUUUGGGGGAAAGAUUUAUCGGUGAAGGAUUAGCCCGCGUCUGAUUAGAUAGUUGGUGGGGUAAUGGCCUACCAAGUCUACGAUCAGUAGCUGGUUUGAGAGGAUGAUCAGCAACACUGGGACUGAGACACGGCCCAGACUCCUACGGGAGGCAGCAGUGGGGAAUCUUAGACAAUGGGCGCAAGCCUGAUCUAGCCAUGCCGCGUGAGUGACGAAGGCCUUAGGGUCGUAAAGCUCUUUCGCCAGAGAUGAUAAUGACAGUAUCUGGUAAAGAAACCCCGGCUAACUCCGUGCCAGCAGCCGCGGUAAUACGGAGGGGGUUAGCGUUGUUCGGAAUUACUGGGCGUAAAGCGCACGUAGGCGGAUUGGAAAGUAUGGGGUGAAAUCCCAGGGCUCAACCCUGGAACGGCCUUGUAAACUCCCAGUCUAGAGUUCGAGAGAGGUGAGUGGAAUUCCAAGUGUAGAGGUGAAAUUCGUAGAUAUUUGGAGGAACACCAGUGGCGAAGGCGGCUCACUGGCUCGAUACUGACGCUGAGGUGCGAAAGUGUGGGGAGCAAACAGGAUUAGAUACCCUGGUAGUCCACACCGUAAACGAUGAAUGCCAGACGUCGGGGGGCUUGCCCUUCGGUGUCACACCUAACGGAUUAAGCAUUCCGCCUGGGGAGUACGGUCGCAAGAUUAAAACUCAAAGGAAUUGACGG